UUUUUAACCAAGCCAACAAUGAUAGUUUGUUGACAGUCCUAAGCCUGUUAUAAUUGGGAAGGAAAA
ncrna:Acyrthosiphon pisum (pea Type-P1 twister ribozyme ribozyme sequence